rnacentral:lncRNA from 11 species
GCCCCUUAGAUUUCUCUUUCUUUGAGUCAGAGAUACAGGCAAGUGGGUCGACCAGAUGGUGAGGACGAGCUCCGCUUAAACCAAGCACGAUCUCUUUAGGUAGAUAACUUUUAUUCAGCCACCAGAGGUGCGGCCACACUGCACUUGGGCACCACUUCAAGCGCCCAGGCUCCACCCGAUGGAAUCCUGGGGCCUGUAGUCUGUCGCAGCAGCCCCAGAGCUCUCAGGCUGAGAAAGGACAAACGCCUACAUAUCCUAUAGCCUUGAGCCAUAGCAGUGGGGCUGCAUCGUGAGAAAGAGGGAGGGAGAGGAGGCAAGAACUACGACUCCCAUGAUACUCCACGGCAAGGCGGGGUAUAUAAAGGGAGGAAUGGCUCGCGAGGAGGCAGUCGGAGGCGGGCGGCUGCUCUUGGAGAGGCAGAGAGAGAGAGAGAGAGAGAGAAGUAGGAGCGUCCCGGGAUGUUGCGGACAGGCGGCUUUGCCUUCUCUCCGGAUGGGAUUUGGCUUCACUUUGGGAGUCUGACAAGCAGAGCAGAGCUAAGGGAGAAAAAGGAAGGAAAGAGAUGGUGGGAGGAAGAAACUGCGGAGAGGGCUCUUCCUCUCAAUUUUCCCAAUCGCAUAAACGGAGCAGAAAACGGAUAGAGAUCAGGUUCACCUCGCCAUCUCCUUCACCUUUUGUGCCCUGAGGUGUCUUCUCAUUGGAAACCGACCAGAGCUGGAUGCCUGCCUCUCCUUCUCCUGGGCGAUGGCAGGGCUCUCCUUUUUCCUUCCAGCCCCAGAUGAAGCGGAUGGGACCCCAUGGGGAGGCGCUUCUUCCAACCAGGAUUAUUAUUUGGCCCUUUUUCCUUCUUCUUCCAAGGAUGUGGAGCCCUUCCCCGCUUUGGAUGGUUGUCUUCCGUCAAGGUUUUUUCGCUCUUAGAUGUUUGGUACUCCCCCUUAUGUGGAAUACAAUCCUCGAAUGAAGUCCCUUUUCCAAGGAGGCGUUCAAGAAUCACAUGGCAGAAGAAAGGUGUAAUUGGUGCACAGAAGAUGCUGACAGAAAGGCUAAGUGACCAAAGCCCAAGUGUUUGUACAGAAGGGUCCUUUCCUUAGAAAUGUCAGGAAAUGUUUUGCUCAUGACUUGGAGCAGCUCACCACUUGCAAGAUCACAAACAGAUGUCUGUUGCAUAGAAGCAAGCUCUCAUUUUACAAUCAACAGAAAUGGAGAAUGGGAUCUUCAGCUUCGUCCACAUUUAUAUCUCACCAACCAGCAUCUCUCUUCAUGAUGAAGCAGUUCUCUCUUGUCUUUCUCUCCUUAACUUCGCAGUUUUCACAUGCUCCCUUCUUGGCCAAUGUGGCUGUAUAUUCAUUUCCACUAUGGACCUGCAAAUCUCUACAGAUAAGGGGAUAACAAUUUGACCCAAACAGGAGUGCCUUUUCCCUUCUUUUCAUAAACAUUUCAAAUUUAUCUAUGUGGAGUAGAAGCAGCAGUGGAUUUCAAAAACAACAGCAUCAACACAUCAUUCUUUAAUCUUUGUGAGUGGUUUUAUGUUCCCUAUUUCAUUCCUGGUAUAAUGAUUAAGCAAAAGGUCUCCAUGUCCAAGAAAAAGAAAGACUGGACAAGAAAAAUACAGUGCUUGAAGAAAAAACAUUAAUGACAGUAACUGGCGAAAUAAUGGUCAGUCAAUCAAAGACUUUAGCAUGAUGUGGUCACAUGGAAGGUGAAAUAAACUGUCAUGUUUCUAUUGAAAUGAAAUCAUGAUUUAAUACAUAUCUUUACCAAAGUCUCGAUUUGCGUGAACACUAUCUCCAAUAAAUAUGAGGAUGAAUUCAGAUAAGAAAAAUGGAAUUAGUACAUUAGCACUCCUAACAAAUGACUUGUCCAGGAAAUGGUUUAAGUAUUCCUGGUACAGACAUUUCCAAAGUUUGAUUCUAAUAGCCAUGUGUACAAGGCCUUUAGAGUACUACAAACACAGGUUGAAAUGCCUUUUGCUUUUUUACUAAUAAAAAACAUCUUUUGAUCCUCUUGAGAUGUGCUCCGUUUCUUCUGUGGAUUUUUACAGAACUGUUUUUGGAAUGUGGCAAUAUUUCCAUUAUCCACAGGAUAUAAUUAAUGUUUUCUGAGUACCUUCUGAAAUAUUUUUCGUUUUAUGUGUAUACCAUUUAUGCAUGUUCAACUGAGUCACCUUUUUGUAGAAAAAGAAGCUGCAGGGGGAAAUGCCCAUAAAAAUGCAUCUAGAUGCAUUUUACUCAAUGGAAGAUGCAUAAUUAAUACAUACACUUGAAAAUGGUACACUCGUCAAGUCGUGCUUGAAAUCUAUAUAAAUGGAGGCGAUUAGAGAAGAUGUUGCGAUCCACAUGAAAGCUGAAGAAUGGAUCGUCUAAGGACUAAGUACUUUAAAAUUUGCACCUUUUUCUAUGAGAAUUGAUGUUUAAUUGAUAUUGAGCCAAAAUGUGACACCAUUGAUACAUCUUCGGGCUGGGUUGAGAGCCCCUAAGAUCUGUUUAAAUAGGCAACUGAGUAAUAAAAGGGUGUGAACACAAAAGUAAUCUCCUGGUUUUAUUCAGAUUUUCUGAAAUAGUUCUCUUGGCAGCAAUCCUUGUGGGUACAUGGAAGAGAUUCCUUUAUGGUGGAAUUAUAUAUUUCCCCAUUAGUGAAUUGACCUGAGUUUUUCAUGAUUAUUACAAAUCCUGCUGUUGUAGCUUGCUGAGAUUCAGUUUACAUAUGCCUCUUACAGAAUAUGCAUUUCCACAGUUCAUUUCAGGAUGCAUUUAGCUAUUGAGGAACAAAAACAUCUAUGGGAAUGUACUGG